CCCUUAGACGUUCUGGGCCGCACGCGCGCUACACUGACGAAGGCAACGAGCUUUCCUUUACCGAAAGGUACGGGUAAUCUUUUGAAACUUCGUCGUGCUGGGGAUAGAUCCUUGCAAUUUUUGAUCUUAAACGAGGAAUUCCUAGUAAGCGCAAGUCAUCAACUUGCGUUGAUUACGUCCCUGCCCUUUGUACCCACCGCCCGUCGCUACUACCGAUUGAAUGGUUUAGUGAGGCCUUCGGAUCCGCGACUCGUUUUGUGGAGAAGUUGGACAAACUCAGUCAUUUAGAGGAAGUAAAAGUCGUAACA
rnacentral:rRNA from 1 species